GGGGAUGUAGCUCAGUGGUAGAGUACCUCUGCAUUCAAUCCCUAGUACAAAAAAUAAAAAUAAAUUAAAUUAAAUUUAAAUUAAAUAAGUCACAAUUUAAAGAAAAAAUCAGUGAAAAUUUAAAAAAUACUUAGAAAUACUUAUAAUCUCAGUGCUACAAAGAAAUGUUUUGAUUUUUUAACUUUUUUUUUUAGUUGUAGGUGGACAUAAUACCUUUAUUUUAUUUAUGUGGUGCUGAAGAUCAAAUCUAGGUCCUCA
rnacentral:tRNA from 1 species